GGCUCAAUGGUCUAGUGGUAUGAUUCGCGCUUCGGGAUGGAUUCUGUCCGCCCUCGUCUAGAAACAGACGAAACUGUGCGAGGUCUCGGGUUCGAUCCCCGAUUGAGCCC